rnacentral:rRNA from 1 species
GACGAACGCUGGCGGCGCGCUUAACACAUGCAAGUCGAGCGAUGAAACUUUAACAGAACCCUUCGGGGCGAAGAUAAAGUGGAUUAGCGGCGGACGGGUGAGUAACACGUGAGUAACCUGCCUAGACAUUGGGAUAGCCUCGGGAAACCGGGAUUAAUACCAAAUAAAAUCAUAAUGACACAUGUCAUAACGAUCAAAACUCCGGUGGUCUAAGAUGGACUCGCGUCCCAUUAGCUAGUUGGUAGAGUAAAAGCCUACCAAGGCGACGAUGGGUAGCCGGCCUGAGAGGGUGAACGGCCACAUUGGAACUGAGAAACGGUCCAAACUCCUACGGGAGGCAGCAGUGGGGAAUAUUGCACAAUGGAGGGAACUCUGAUGCAGCGACGCCGCGUGAACGAAGAAGGCUUUCGAGUCGUAAAGUUCUUUUAUAUGGGAAGAUAAUGACGGUACCAUAAGAAAAAGCCCCGGCUAACUACGUG